rnacentral:misc_RNA from 1 species
AAGUCGUAACAAGGUUUCCGUAGGUGAACCUGCGGAAGGAUCAUUAUCGAGUUCUGACGAGGAGUCUUGAUGCUGGCCCAGCAAUGGGCAUGUGCUCGGCUCCCUGCUCAAAUCCAACUCAACCACUGUGCACUACUUCAAGCUUGUUGGUCCUCCAGCCGCUACGGCGCGGAGCAGCUCUCUUAACACGAGAGUCGGGGCUGACAGGUUUGACUAUUACACAAACUACUUUGAAGUCUUGUAGAAUGUUAAUACUAUUGAAACAGUACAACUUUCAACAACGGAUCUCUAGGCUCUC